GAGUUUGAUCGUGGCUCAGAUUGAACGCUGGCGGCAUGCCUUACACAUGCAAGUCGAACGGCAGCAUGAUCUAGCUUGCUAGAUUGAUGGCGAGUGGCGAACGGGUGAGUAAUACAUCGGAACGUGCCCUGUAGUGGGGGAUAACUAGUCGAAAGAUUAGCUAAUACCGCAUACGACCUGAGGGUGAAAGUGGGGGACCGCAAGGCCUCAUGCUAUAGGAGCGGCCGAUGUCUGAUUAGCUAGUUGGUGGGGUAAAGGCCCACCAAGGCGACGAUCAGUAGCUGGUCUGAGAGGACGAUCAGCCACACUGGGACUGAGACACGGCCCAGACUCCUACGGGAGGCAGCAGUGGGGAAUUUUGGACAAUGGGCGAAAGCCUGAUCCAGCAAUG
rnacentral:rRNA from 1 species